rnacentral:rRNA from 1 species
CGCCCGCCGCGCGCGGCGGGCGGGGCGGGGGCACGGGGGGCGUACGGGAGGCAGCAGUAGGGAAUCUUGGACAAUGGGCGAAAGCCUGAUCCAGCCAUGCCGCGUGAGUGAUGAAGGCCUUAGGGUUGUAAAGCUCUUUCGCCAGGGAAGAUAAUGACGGUACCUGGAUAAGAAGCCCCGGCUAACUUCGUGCCAGCAGCCGCGGUAAUACGAAGGGGGCUAGCGUUGUUCGGAAUUACUGGGCGUAAAGCGCACGUAGGCGGUUUUCCAAGUUGGAGGUGAAAUCCCUGGGCUCAACCCGGGAACUGCCUCCAAAACUGGAUCACUCGAGUCCGAGAGAGGUGAGUGGAAUUUCCAGUGUAGAGGUGAAAUUCGUAGAUAUUGGAAAGAACACCAGUGGCGAAGGCGGCUCACUGGCUCGGUACUGACGCUGAGGUGCGACAGCGUGGGGAGCAAACAGGAUUAGAUACCCUGGUAGUCCACGCCGUAAACGAUGGGUGCUAGUUGUCAGGCAGCUUGCUGUUUGGUGACGCAGCUAACGCAUUAAGCACCCCGCCUGGGGAGUACGGUCGCAAGAUUAAAACUCGAAGGAAUUGACGGGG